GAGUUUGAUCCUGGCUCAGAUUGAACGCUGGCGGCAGGCCUAACACAUGCAAGUCGAACGGUAACAGAAAGCAGCCUGCUGCUUUGCUGACGAGUGGCGGACGGGUGAGUAAUGUCUGGGAAACUGCCUGAUGGAGGGGGAUAACUACUGGAAACGGUAGCUAAUACCGCAUAACGUCGCAAGACCAAAGAGGGGGACCUUCGGGCCUCUUGCCAUCGGAUGUGCCCAGAUGGGAUUAGCUUGUUGGUGGGGUAACGGCUCACCAAGGCGACGAUCUCUAGCUGGUCUGAGAGGAUGACCAGCCACACUGGAACUGAGACACGGUCCAGACUCCUACGGGAGGCAGCAGUGGGGAAUAUUGCACAAUGGGCGCAAGCCUGAUGCAGCCAUGCCGCGUGUAUGAAGAAGGCCUUCGGGUUGUAAAGUACUUUCAGCGGGGAGGAAGGGAGUAAAGUUAAUACCUUUGCUCAUUGACGUUACCCGCAGAAGAAGCACCGGCUAACUCCGUGCCAGCAGCCGCGGUAAUACGGAGGGUGCAAGCGUUAAUCGGAAUUACUGGGCGUAAAGCGCACGCAGGCGGUUUGUUAAGUCAGAUGUGAAAUCCCCGGGCUCAACCUG
rnacentral:rRNA from 1 species